CGACAGGAUGCCAAUCCCCAAAACCUCUCUCAGUUCGGAUCGAAGUCUGCAACCCGACUUCGUGAAGCUGGAUUCGCUAGUAAUCGCGCAUCAGCCAUGGCGCGGUGAAUACGUUCCCGGGCCUUGUACACACCGCCCGUCAAGCCAUGAAAGCCGGGGGUACCUGAAGUACGUAACCGCAAGGAUCGUCCUAGGGUAAAACUGGUAAUUGGGGCUAAGUCGUAACAAGGUAAC
rnacentral:rRNA from 1 species